rnacentral:rRNA from 1 species
AUGGCGGGGCCGGCGGGAGGGCGGGAGCUGCCGGACACGCCGACGUGGGCGGUGGCGCUCGUCUGCACCGUCAUGAUACUCGUCUCCGUCGCCAUGGAGCACGCCCUCCACAACCUCGGACACUGGUUCCGCAAGCGCCACAAGAAGGCCCUGGGGGAGGCGCUGGAGAAGAUGAAAGCAGAGCUCAUGCUGGUGGGCUUCAUAUCCCUGCUCCUCACCGUGGCGCAGACGCCCAUCUCUAAGAUAUGCAUCUCCAAGGAGGCCUGCAGCAUGAUGCUCCCUUGCAAGCUGCCCGCAGCUUACGGCGGCUUCGGUGGUGGCGGCCACGGCAAGGACAAUCACCGGAGGCUUCUAUGGCUCCAAGGCGAGACCCACCGCCGGUUCCUGGCCGCCCCGGCCGGAGAGGACGUCUGCGCCAAACAGGCGGGGAGCAUGCACCAGCUGCACAUAUUCAUCUUCGUGCUCGCCGUCUUCCACGUCCUGUACAGCGUCAUGAAGCAAUGGAAGAAGUGGGCGUCAGAGACCACCUCGCUCAAGUAUCAGUUCGCCAAUGGUCCUUCACGGUGCCGGUUCACGCACCAGACCACGUUCGUGAGGCGGCACUUAGGACUCUCCAGCACCCCUGGUGUCAGAUGGAUCGUGAGUUUCUUCCUUCCUCUACGCUCAUCACUUUUCUUGUCUUUUGACUUAUCUGUGGUGUUUGAUGUGGAUCAGGUGGCUUUCUUCAGGCAGUUCUUCACGUCGGUGACCAAGGUGGACUACCUGACGCUGCGCCAGGGCUUCAUCAAUGCACAUUUGUCGCACAACAGCAGGUUCGACUUCCACAAGUACAUCAAGAGGUCCAUGCAGAACGACUUCAAGGUUGUCGUCGGCAUCAGCCUCAAGCUCUGGUUCGUGGCGGUCCUUACCCUCUUCCUUGAUAUCAAGGGGAUCGGCACGCUCCUUUGGAUCUCUUUCGCCCCACUCGUCAUCCUCUUGUGGGUUGGAACCAAGCUAGAUAUGGUGAUCAUGGAGAUGGCACUGGAGAUCCAGGACCGGACAAGCGUCGUCAAGGGUACUCCCUUCAACCGGCCUGACUGGGUCCUCUUCCUCAUACACCUGACACUCUUCCAGAAUGCGUUUCAGAUGGCACAUUUCGUGUGGACAGUGGCCACGCCUGGCUUGAAGCGAUGCUACCAUGAGAAAAUGGGAGUGAGCAUCGCCAAGGUGGUCCUGGGGGUAGCUGUGCAGAUCAUGUGCAGCUACAUCACCUUCCCCCUCUACGCGCUCGUCACACAGAUGGGCUCACACAUGAAGAGAACCAUCUUCAACGAGCAGACAGCCAGGGCGCUGUCCAACUGGCGAAAGAUAGCAAAGGAGAAGAAGAAGGCCCGAGACGCGGAUAUGCUGAGGGCGCAGAUGAGUCUAGGCUCGUCGCCAGUGCACCUGCUCCACAAGGCAGAGCUGCGGUCCGACGAUCCCCGGAGUGGACCGAGGGCGGAGAAGGAGGGCGGGGACAUACAGUAUCUCGUUGUGGCGCAUCCGAUGCACAGGGUACAUCCUUGUGACGGGUGGAGGUCAGCCUCGUUGCCGACCCUCCAUACUGACAUCCCCAGUGCAAAAUUUUGCUUCAGCACGCAACGUUAA